rnacentral:rRNA from 1 species
GCAUGGACGAAGUCUGACGGAGCAACGCCGCGUGAGUGAUGAAGGCUUUCGGGUCGUAAAACUCUGUUGUUAGGGAAGAACAAGUACGAGAGUAACUGCUCGUACCUUGACGGUACCUAACCAGAAAGCCACGGCUAACUACGUGCCAGCAGCCGCGGUAAUA